GGAGUUAGCCGGUGCUUCUUCUGCGAGUAACGUCACAGAUGUAAGGUAUUAACUUACACCCUUUCCUCCUCGCUGAAAGUGCUUUACAACCCGAAGGCCUUCUUCACACACGCGGCAUGGCUGCAUCAGGGUUUCCCCCAUUGUGCAAUAUUCCCCACUGCUGCCUCCCGUAGGAGUCUGGGCCGUGUCUCAGUCCCAGUGUGGCUGAUCAUCCUCUCAGACCAGCUAGGGAUCGUCGCCUAGGUGAGCCUUUACCUCACCUACUAGCUAAUCCCACCUGGGCUUAUCCAUCAGCGCAAGGCCCGAAGGUCCCCUGCUUUCCCCCGUAGGGCGUAUGCGGUAUUAGCAGUCGUUUCCAACUGUUAUCCCCCACAAAUGGGCAAAUUCCCAGGCAUUACUCACCCGUCCGCCGCUCGUCAUCUUCAAAAGCAAGCUUUUGAACUGUUACCGCUCGACUUGCAUGUGUAGCUCGCCGCCAGCGUCAUCUGAGCGAGAUACAACUACUGA
rnacentral:rRNA from 1 species